CUUUCCGGCGUCGAAACCGGUUCUUCCGCAAGGGGUUCCGGUGAGAGGGAACCCGGUGGGAAUCCGGGACUGUCCCGCAGCGGUAUGCAGGAACGAACGUCGUCAUGAGCACUGGGUGUGAACCUGGGAAGCGAUGACCAGUAGGUCGGCCGGGUGGCCGGGGCCUGUGAGUCCGAAGACCUGCCGAGUGUGCCGGGUACGC
rnacentral:ncRNA from 1 species